rnacentral:rRNA from 1 species
AGGGUAGCGUAGGCGGCUGAUUAAGUCAGCGGUGAAAGGUAGCAGCUUAACUGUUUUACAUGCCGUUGAUACUGGUUAGCUUGAGUUGACAGAAGGCAGAUAGAAUUCCUGGUGUAGCGGUGAAAUGCUUAGAUACCAGGAGGAACACCGAUUGCGAAGGCAGUCUGCUGCAGUCACACUGACGCUGAGGCUCGAAGGUGCGGGGAUCAAACAGGAUUAGAUACCCUUGU